AAAGUGGCAAGAAGGUGAGUUCCGGAUCCGGCUGAAUUGCUUGGUCUCUUUCAUAUUGGACCUAGUCGCGAGUGCAGCUCGUCGUUCGUGGAUCCGAAUCUAUCGGAAAAUACUGGGUUGAUCUAGUUUUGUCAACCUCUAGAAAAUGAGGGCAAAGUGGCGUAAGAAGCGGAUGCGCAGGCUGAAACGUAAAAGGAGGAAGAUGCGUGCAAGGUCGAAAUAAGUCAUUCAACCAUGGCAUUCCUGAAACAUGGAUAACUUACAAUAAUACUUGAUAUAUUGUAAAGUUGUCAAAAUUAGAGCAAUAAGAAUUCCACACCACUACAUCCGUGUGUUUAUCCAAGUUCUGAAAUGUAACAAUGUUAUCGGUGCCAGGUAAACCAAAUUGAAACCAGAUCAUCUCAAUUGGUAUAAUAAAACUACUGACUUGAAA